rnacentral:rRNA from 1 species
GGCAGCGGGGUUGUAGCAAUACAACUGCCGGCGACCGGCGCACGGGUGAGUAACACGUAUGUAACCUGCCCUCUGCAGGGGGAUAAGCGGAAGAAAUUCCGUCUAAUACCGCAUAAUACAAUUUGGAGACAUCUCCGGGUUGUCAAAGGAGUGAUCCGGCAGAGGAUGGACAUGCGGCGCAUUAGCUAGUCGGCGGGGUAACGGCCCACCGAGGCUACGAUGCGUAGGGGUUCUGAGAGGAAGGUCCCCCACACUGGUACUGAGACACGGACCAGACUCCUACGGGAGGCAGCAGUGAGGAAUAUUGGUCAAUGGGCGGAAGCCUGAACCAGCCAAGUCGCGUGAGGGAAGACGGUCCUAUGGAUUGUAAACCUCUUUUGCAGGGGAGCAAGGCGCGGUACGUGUACCGCGAAGGAGAGUACCCUGAGAAAAAGCAUCGGCUAACUCCGUGCCAGCAGCCGCGGUAAUACGGAGGAUGCGAGCGUUAUCCGGAUUUAUUGGGUUUAAAGGGUGCGCAGGCGGACUGUUAAGUCAGCGGUAAAAUGUCGGUGCUCAACACCGGCCGGCCGUUGAAACUGGCAGCCUUGAGUGAGCGAGAAGUAUGCGGAAUGCGUGGUGUAGCGGUGAAAUGCAUAGAUAUCACGCAGAACUCCGAUUGCGAAGGCAGCAUACCGGCGCUCAACUGACGCUCAGGCACGAAAGCGUGGGUAUCGAACAGGCUUAGAUACCCUGGUAGUCCACGCAGUAAACGAUGAAUGCUCACUGUCCGGGCCGUUUAAGGCCUGGGUGGUCAAGCGAAAGCGUUAAGCAUU